GCCUGGGUGGCUCAGUUGAGCGUCCGACUUCUGCUCAGGUCAUGAUCUCACAGUUUGUGGGUUCAAGCCCCACGUCGGGCU
rnacentral:tRNA from 1 species